UGGCCCAGACCACCCUGAACCAAAGACUGUCAUGGUUGCUACUCUGCUGCAGCGCUGCAGUCAAGCUCAUCUGCUCCACCUGCCCUGAUUGC